rnacentral:rRNA from 1 species
GACGAACGCUGGCGGCGUGCUUAACACAUGCAAGUCGAACGGAAAGGCCCUGCUUUUGUGGGGUGCUCGAGUGGCGAACGGGUGAGUAACACGUGAGUAACCUGCCCUUGACUUUGGGAUAACUUCAGGAAACUGGGGCUAAUACCGGAUAGGAGCUCCUGCUGCAUGGUGGGGGUUGGAAAGUUUCGGCGGUUGGGGAUGGACUCGCGGCUUAUCAGCUUGUUGGUGGGGUAGUGGCUUACCAAGGCUUUGACGGGUAGCCGGCCUGAGAGGGUGACCGGCCACAUUGGGACUGAGAUACGGCCCAGACUCCUACGGGAGGCAGCAGUGGGGAAUAUUGCACAAUGGGCGGAAGCCUGAUGCGGCAACGCCGCGUGCGGGAUGACGGCCUUCGGGUUGUAAACCGCUUUCGCCUGUGACGAAGCGUGAGUGACGGUAAUGGGUAAAGAAGCACCGGCUAACUACGUGCCAGCAGCCGCGGUGAUACGUAGGGUGCGAGCGUUGUCCGGAUUUAUUGGGCGUAAAGGGCUCGUAGGUGGUUGAUCGCGUCGGAAGUGUAGUCUUGGGGCUUAACCCUGAGCGUGCUUUCGAUACGGGUUGACUUGAGGAAGGUAGGGGAGAAUGGAAUUCCUGGUGGAGCGGUGGAAUGCGCAGAUAUCAGGAGGAACACCAGUGGCGAAGGCGGUUCUCUGGGCCUUUCCUGACGCUGAGGAGCGAAAGCGUGGGGAGCGAACAGGCUUAGAUACCCUGGUAGUCCACGCUGUAAACGGUGGGUACUAGGUGUGGGGUCCAUUCCACGGGUUCCGUGCCGUAGCUAACGCUUUAAGUACCCCGCCUGGGGAGUACGGCCGCAAGGCUAAAACUCAAAGGAAUUGACGGGGCCCCGCACAAGCGGCGGAGCAUGCGGAUUAAUUCGAUGCAACGCGUAGAACCUUACCUGGGUUUGACAUGGAUCGGGAGCGCUCAGAGAUGGGUGUGCCUCUUUUGGGGUCGGUUCACAGGUGGUGCAUGGCUGUCGUCAGCUCGUGUCGUGAGAUGUUGGGUUAAGUCCCGCAACGAGCGCAACCCUUGUUCACUGUUGCCAGCACGUUAUGGUGGGGACUCAGUGGAGACCGCCGGGGUCAACUCGGAGGAAGGUGGGGAUGACGUCAAGUCAUCAUGCCCCUUAUGUCCAGGGCUUCACGCAUGCUACAAUGGCUGGUACAGAGAGUGGCGAGCCUGUGAGGGUGAGCGAAUCUCGGAAAGCCGGUCUCAGUUCGGAUUGGGGUCUGCAACUCGACCUCAUGAAGUCGGAGUCGCUAGUAAUCGCAGAUCAGCAACGCUGCGGUGAAUACGUUCCCGGG